AACGUCCGGCGAUCUCUUAAUAAGCCUCUCUCAUUUUCAUUCCCGAAGGUUCAGAUAUAUGUUGAAACUUAUGGAACUUUAAGAACAUGAAUUUUAAAGAGGCUUUAUGAAUAUGGGUUUUAAGCUUUUCCCGUAAUUUAAGAUGAUACCGGGGAAGGCUUUCCGGUUUAUCCAUCCAGUGACUUAAGAUGAUACCGGGGAAGGUUUUCCGGUUUAUCC
rnacentral:misc_RNA from 1 species